AAAGCACUAGCUUAAGUUAAAGUUUCGAAUUUUUGAUUCGGAGAUGUUAUUCGUGUUUUA
rnacentral:tRNA from 1 species